UGAGCUCAUCUGUCUCAGCCCCAUUUAUUUCUCCUGGGUGAUGAGAAGACCUGUGCUUCUCCGUUAAAAGGCACUAGGAAAGAAGGAGUUAAAGUGAAGGCAGGCUCGCUGGUUUGCUGAGAUCUGUCAGAGGCUGACUGGCUGGCUACAUAUCUGUCUCUGGAACAAUAGGUACCUGUAUUCUGCAUGGGCUGCUGGGCAGGCAGUACUAACACUCUGGAGAAGGUCUGCCUCUGUCUGAGCCUUCCUGGUGAGAUUCCCCAGUAACAGUCCUACUUUUCAGAGGAGAGAGAGAGAGAGAGAGAGAGAGAGAGAGAGAGAGAGAGAGAGAGAGAGAGAGAGUUUGAGGCUGUCUACUCUGUUGAUAGAGGACAAAGCUUUGAUCAUUUUUGUUCAGGCUUCACUUGGUGAGAGGUUUUAGGUUCUUAGUCUCAAGUCAGUAGUUGUGCUGCCUUCCCCCCCCCUCCCCUUUCUUUCAUAUUCUCUUUCUGCCGCCCUCCCUCUCUCAUUUCUCCUCAUAGGUUCAAUGCAGGCAGAUGAGUGCCACAGCUGUAACUGAGGCGUAGAAUAAUCAACACAUCGGAGCCAAUCCCCCUGACACCAAGAGGGGAAUCCGGCAGAGGUGACCGACCGCGAGGACAAGACCGUUCUUCUGACAAGUUUUAGCACGGACUAUCCUCAGGAAAAUGAGAUCCAGGAGAAGUGACGCCCUCCUCGAACUGAAAGAUACUCAUGCUAAUGGUGUCACGGAAGAAGCGAUGUAUCGACAGCUCAGGAUGGCUGCAGGGGACAUAUUCAGACGUGGCCCAGAUUGUCUGCCCAUGGGGACUGAGAUACCUCUGAGAUUUAUAUCAGAUCUCCACAGUCUUUGUCGCUGUAUUUUGUUAGAAAGAAAGGCGAGGCUGUUUCUACAGGUGCCACAGAAAAAUCGAUGCCGAGUCACGGAUUAUUGGAUCCCACAGAACCAUGGAGACUUGGCGGUGAAAUUCUUCUAAAGUUUCUUCUGGCUAUCAGAGAGUUGAAAGGGGAAAAAAAAAUAAAGAGCCAAAGCUGUUUCAACUUCUUGGUUGUUUUACUCCAUGGCUUAGCAUUCCAUCUGCGCAGGCAGAGGUGUUCCUGGUUUGGGAAGUAUAAAUCCCGCGGGAAGUCAACUGGAGAACAUUUUACGCGUCCGUCACUCAUCCUAUUAUGAGCCUGCUGCUCUUCCUUCUCUGGACAAGCCUAAACUUUAAGAUUUGCUGAACAAACCUUGUGUCAAAUUUGGACCACCUAGACAGUAUUCCACCCUGAUUGUAUCCCAUGUCACUAUUCUGUGCAAGGCCACCGACUAGAAGAGCACAGAAUUAUUAAAAAGAAAACAAAAAAAAAAACCAAAAAAAACACAGCUGAAAGUGAACGUCUUUGGAUUUCCCAUUUAAUGAGUUGGCAGCUAAAGGACAGGAGCAGCAAUAAGGCUGCCUGGCUACAUUUUCAUAGUGCCACCAACUGCGAGUUAAGCUGACAAACAUUUUGAGAGCUCGGCCCAUUUCAUUCACAGCAGGAUGGCAGGAGUUAACUAACACUGUAAAAAAAACCUAACUAAAAAUCGUGCCUUUACUGCACAUUUGCACAGAAUCUCAGGACUGAAAGUGUCGAAGUUCUGCUCGACAAGCGGGUGACUGAUUGUCCCUGCCAGCUGGCUAAUAUCAUAAUUAGCAAAGUUGCUACCACAUCUGCAAAGUUUAAUCGAAAAAUUUACCAGUGGUAUGAUGGCAUUGUCACCAUGAUCCCAAGGGAAUCGGAGUCGACUUCUGCUUCAGGAGGAACGGCAAGGCUGUAUAGCUGAGAUGAGAAAUUGUAAACUUGCUCAGCCAAAGGUUAUGCUUCGCAUCACCCACCAGGGAGGAUCAUCUCUCAUGAAAACUUUCAAAUUUGAUUUUGAAAAUUUAUUCAGAAAAAUUUAAGCCACGCUCUUUUUCAACACAGAAAAUAAUAUGCUCCAGAGAAUCCUCUAAUUCACAGAAAAUGGACUCGGAUAACAUUUGGGUUCUCAUACUACCACAGUUCUCUUGAGAAGGACAGCCAGGAGGCUAAUAAUGAAGGGGCCAGGGAAGGAGGCCAAUGCUACAAGGGUUAUCUCUCAACCUCAGAUGUUGGAUAAGUCAGGGAACAGCGUCGUUUCUGGAUGGCUUCAGACAGGCCGGACUGACUGUUUGGAAGAGAAAAACCUGCUUAUUCUUUCAAAGGUACAUGAAUGUUGUCCACACCUUCCCGUCUAAAGGUUAGAAUCUUGCCUUAGACAAAGGAUGCUCUUGGAGUCCCACCACACCUAAAACCACGCUUUGAAGGAUCUGCCAAGCUCACUUUUAAUCAUGAGAAAGAAAUUACCCACAUGGAGACAGCAGAAAAUGAGAAAGGAGAGAUCGUGCUGCGAAUAAUUCCAGCGAGUGCCAAGGGGCUAGUUGAGGAAUGGCUUCAUGAGGUGAAUAUCUUAGCUUGUACUUAGAAUUUGGUUAGCGUAUAAUCAGUUUCUCUUUUAGGAGCGAAUACAAUCCUAAGUGUAUUUCCCAUCUGAGCACCGCUCAGGGCAUUUAUCAGGAUGUUGACAUAUUUAAUAUCGGCCUCGUCCUCGCCGUUAUUUAUGAUGACUAAUUUUACACUUAUAAAUAUGCAGAAAUCGAUGUAGGUGGAAAGGCUCUCUGAGCCCCAUGUCUGUCGCUAGCCGUCUGUCUUCAUGUGCAGCGCUCUGCUAGUGUGGCCUGUCCAGUAAUGUGUGUCUCUGUGUAUGUGCGUGCUCUUGUUGUCUCCUCUCCGCUGUGAAUGUGCAUUGGGAGAAUUAGCCUUAUGACAGGAUAUCAAAAGAUGGGCCCAAGACUUUCAUUUUUGGAAUGGAAAGAAAAAAUAAUGCGUAACACUUUGUAUCACAUCAGUUUCAAUUCUUCCUGAGAGGGAGGGGGCCAAUCAGGUAUGAGUCAUCACAGGGCAAAGCAACCAGGAUUCAAAUUGAACAUCACCUUCAGUGUCAAAUUAGUUGAAAGUCCCCCUUUUCCUUUACGGUGACUGGCUGAAACCCCUGCCAUUAUGUCUGUUUGUUUUAAAAGGGUGGGGGGAGCUGCCUGAGUUCAUCCACAGUGCCAUGUAGCUUUUCUUUGUUUCAUUUUUCUAAGGAUCAGAUCCAAGAAAAAUAAUAGGUUAGUAAUUCAAGACCAUCACUACUUACACGGUUCUCUCCCGGGCAUGUCAUUUCUUUGGGUGCCAAGUUUCAUCAAGAUCACUAAGUAAACAAAUGAGCGAUAACUUUUUUGCUCCUUUUUUCUUUUAAUUUGACUAGGGAGUAAGAACUGGGAAAGUCAAGUGUCUUUAUGAGUCACAGAGGAAGAAUGCAGGAACCCCCACCCCCACCCCCCAACUUCUGGUCUCAGACUUUGAUUUCCCACACAACCAAGUCACGGGAUCGCCAUGCCAACCUUAAGCAAUUUUGGCUCCCAGCAAUCCUGUGCUGGGGAAUCUUUCAAACUACCCUUCAAUCCGGGUCCAAAGGGCCACAGCACAGACUAGUAGAAAGAGUGCAUUAUCUGAGAAAGCACCAGGCUGCUUUCCCAUUGGUAUAUGUGUUUGGUGCCACGGUUAAGCACCGCUGGGGUCUAAUACGUGGAUGACCCCCUUUAUAGAGUGUGGGGGCUUCUGAGGAAAAGGCAAGCAUUGACUAAGAAAAAGAGUCAUUCUUCCAUGUGUUUUCAUAAAAGGACAAGGCAGGCCUCUUUGAGAGCUUCUGAAAGAGAAGAGGCAUGGGAGGAGAUGAGCCAGCUGGGGGUGGGUUGUUUUGGGGAGGGGAGCCAGCUGGGGAAUGGAGAGAGAGAGAGAGAGGCUGGGGAGAUAGCCAGCUGGGAGAAGAGGUAGGAUAAAGCCAAGGCACAAAGGUACAGGCAGAUGAGCAGCUGUGUUUAUUUGAAUACAUAUCAUUUAACCCUCACCUAAAAACAAAUUGGAGAGGUUUGGGAGUGCAUUAAUCUGGACCCAAUUAGCAUGUCUUUCCCCUUCAAAAGGUGCAACCUGAGAUUAAUGAAUAUCAACCAGAGUUUCAGAAGCAGCACUUAAAUCAUUUGCAUGUUUGUGCAUGAUAAUUGGAUUUAUGUAUGCACUUCCUUUCAUUUAACUAUUUCCAGUCUCCUUAUGAGUGAGUCAUACAACCCAAAACUUCAUUCGAGUGAUUUCUAGGUAGAAAUAGCUUACCUAGCAUUCUACCCCUAAGGGGGGAAAAACUCAAGUGGUUGUACAUUUUGAAUUUGAAUACCACAUUUCUUUCUUUUAUUAUUAUUUUUUUUAACAUAGAGGGCAGUUGAUAAUAGUGUGGAAUGCUGCUGCUUCUGGAGUUGGUAAAUAGGCACCACAGAUUUAUCUUUAAAAGGCUAGGAAAAUAAGGAAAUUUCCAACAUCAAGCUUUCAUGGCUUCCGUGUGGCCACUAGUAAGAGAUUUUAUAAUGCUAGGAACGAGGCCACUUGAAUGCCGCAUGGGGAAUGUUCUUGGUGUCUGGACCUGUGGCAAUUAGAUCACAGAGACAUCAGCAUCCAGGAUGGUUUAUGGCAUAGUUAGAAAUGUGUUUCUAUAGAAAGAGAUGGGAAUGCGGUCAACAUCUGUGAACUGCUGUGGACAGGCAAGGAGCAUUGUGAACCCUUGAUGCUGUGGGUUUGGUCCUUCUCAUUUCCUCCCUCCCUCCCUUCCUUCCUUCCUCCCUCCCUCUCUCCC
rnacentral:sRNA from 1 species